rnacentral:misc_RNA from 1 species
UAAACCUGACCCAAAUGGAACUGUAGG